rnacentral:rRNA from 1 species
GACGAACGCUGGCGGCGUGCUUAACACAUGCAAGUCGAACGGAAAGGCCCUGCUUUUGUGGGGUGCUCGAGUGGCGAACGGGUGAGUAACACGUGAGUAACCUGCCCUUGACUUUGGGAUAACUUCAGGAAACUGGGGCUAAUACCGGAUAGGAGCUCCUGCUGCAUGGUGGGGGUUGGAAAGUUUCGGCGGUUGGGGAUGGACUCGCGGCUUAUCAGCUUGUUGGUGGGGUAGUGGCUUACCAAGGCUUUGACGGGUAGCCGGCCUGAGAGGGUGACCGGACAAAUGGGAGAGGGACAAGGGACAAGCGCCUACGGGGGGCAGCAGGGGGGGAGGGUGGACGAGGGACGGGAGGCGGGUGCAGGAAAGGCGGGGGGGGGAUGAAGGGCGUGGGGUUGGAAACCGGGUUGAACCGGGACGAAACUGGGUGUGACGGGAGCAGGAGAAGAAGCACCGGAUAACUACGUG